rnacentral:rRNA from 1 species
CCUACGGGAGGCAGCAGUGAGGAAUAUUGGUCAAUGGGCGUAAGCCUGAACCAGCCAAGUCGCGUGAGGGAUGAAGGUUCUAUGGAUCGUAAACCGCUUUUAUAAGGGAAUAAAGUGCGGGACGUGUCCCGUUUUGUAUGUACCUUAUGAAUAAUGAUCGGCUAACUCCGUGCCAGCAGCCGCGGUAAUACGGAGGAUCCGAGCGUUAUCCGGAUUUAUUGGGUUGAAAGGGGGCGUAGGCGGCCUUUUAAGGCAGCGGGGAAAGUCUGUGGCUCAACCAUAGAAUUGCCGUUGAAACUGGGAGGCUUGUGUAUGUUUUAGCCAGGCGGCUUGCUUGGUGUAGCGGUGUACUGCUUAGAUAUCACGC